AGGAUGCGACGUCAACGGGAGCGCAGGGCCAAGAUACCCUUUAUAUCAAACCGUCUAUCCUGGAGCAGAAAAAUCCUGUCUUCAUUGCUAUAGCUACAGAUUCAGAAAUGAGCAUGUAACAAAUUCAGGCCAAAGAGAGGCAAUGGAAAUCAGAGAAACACUGUUCCUGAAAGCUUCUGUCACUCAAGAAUCCAUGAAACAUUCAUGAACUUCACAUCAGAUUUUAAUGCAACUUGUUACACAAGAUGAACCCAAACAUAUUUGACUUUUUAUUUUCAGAAAAGCUUAAUACAUAGUUUUGAAUAUGGAUUGUCCCACAGGAUAAAUGCAUGAAAAAAGUUGGAAAAGAGAAAUUGAAUUACAUCCUAAUUGUAGUGUUUUCUCAGGCAGAUCAAUUUUAGAAAGAGAACAUUGACUUGGAAAACUGAAGAGUAAUUAUUCUAAAACGGUUGUAACAGUUUACUCCUUUUAUGUUUGCAAACUUCCAGGAUUAGUGAGUUGCAUAAAGUCACAUAAUUUAUUGCGUUGGUGCAAAAGUAAUUGUGGUUUUUGCCAUUAACAAAACCGCAAUUACUUUUGCAUCAGCCUAAUAUAAGUGAAUAAAUUAAUAUUAGAACACAGGUCUAAUUAAAAGGUUCUGCUGUGUUGUGUCCUGUGAUAACACAGAAAACAAACAAAUGGAUAAUUACAGAAAAAUUUUGGAUAUAAAAUUAGCAGGUAAUUUUCUCCCUCCUUUCCUUCCAUCUUUCCAUCCUUCUUUGCUUCCUUUGCUUUCUUCUUUUCCUUUGUUUUUUGUUUCUCUCUCUCUCUUUUUUUUUUUUUUUUUUUUUUUUUGCAAUUUGGAGAAGGAAGUACUUUAAAAGAAAAGUUAAAAGGCAGACAUAGAUAGCAUGAAGCCUAAUUGCAAGAUCUUUUUCAAACAUAUUAGUUUUAGGAAAUAGCACCUGAAUUUAAGUCCCUUAAAAUUGUCUAUGUCUUCACGUCCAAGUCUCUAUAUUUGCAGGGCUGUGUACAAUCUAGACUGAACAUGCUUGACCUAAAAACAGAAGUAAUACCUGGGGCAAAGCACGAUGUGCACCACAGUCUUCUCUCUUUAGUGUGUUAAGAUAAAGUUGAUUCCCAGAGUAGCCUGCCAUCACUAACUCUGAGGGAUGGUGGGCUAAUUUUGAUAGAAGGAGCAGAGGUGGUAGUUAGGAGGAAGGUGACUCAUCAUCAUUGUAUCAGCAGGCAUUGAUGACUGGAAAUAUCAGGGGGCACAGCCUGAAAGAGAAUGGCUUAAUUGGAAUUGAUAGUGGGAACUUGGAAAUCAAUACAUAUGCACUGAACAGAAAAUGGUAUGCUAUAAUCUACUAUACACUGUAUGUGAAACCCAAGCUCCAAAUUUUUCGGCCCAUGCAAUGUCCAGUAAAAUUUCUCUUAGUUACAUUAUAAUUGCAAUGUACAUGUAUUUGAGGAAAAAAAAAGUGAAAGAAAAAGUAACUAAAGAAAAGUGGAAAUGCAAAACUUUGUUUUUAUUAAUGUUAAAAUUUAUUUUGAUCAACUUGCUAUUCUUAAAAUUGACCAAUCUUCUUCCCUUCCUUGCCUCUUCCAUGGUUUAUAGGAUUAUUUUUCAGGGCUGAUCAGUUGGUGUUACAUGUGACUACUAUGCUUAAUGCUAUCUGGCUUCUAACUUUAAGCACUGAAAAAAAGUCCUUCGUAUUUCUCAGUGUGUGAUUGAACUGAGAUGACCAUCCUAAGCCUCCUCAUUACAUAAAUCCUUACCUUCUCCAGAAGCAACGAAUGGUGUUGAGAAUAGCAUAUGUUACUACUCAGCCAUAUUCCAUAGCCUUUUCUCCAAGAUAUUUUUCCAAAGUUGCCCCUUUUCUGAAUCCCUUGCAAGCAAACAAACAACAAAACAAUGGGUAAUAAAAUAAUUGUUUAACUUUCAUUUAUAUGCUCUGAGAUUGAUGUGAUUUUGAUAAAUAACUAUAUUAAAAGACAAAUGGGAGUGGUGAUUUUGUGAAAAGCCCAUGCCUCUGCCCAUGGAAUAUGUGGCUUGGCCUGGAGCUCUUAUUUUACUUAUAUAUUUCUAAGCAGAAUUAUUCAAGAAUGUCUCUUAUUACAGGUCUUGAAACUUGGACAGCCAACAGAAAGGAAGCUAAUAAAUAAAUUUGUCAGAACACGAUUCUCAGUUUCACUUAUUUUGAAUUAAAGGUAACCUGGAAAAUGGAUUAGGAAAACAGCCUAUAAUCAGAGGAGUGACCCCAGUGAGACCCUGUCAUUAAAACUUUAGUGUUGAGCCUGCAAACCUCUGUUCCUCUGAUUAGGCAAUUUACUCCAUUUCCACCUUUCUGUCUGCCAAAACAUUUAGUGGCAAAACAUUUUCUAAUUCUCUAGACUCAUAAAAUGUUGUUUUGAAAAAAAGUAAAACAGAAUGGAUUACCUUUUUAAGCUGUCUAUCAUAAUGUAAUCAGAAAACAUGAGGGAUUAAUAGAUAAUAUUGUAAAGAGGCAAAGGCAGCAGAUGUUAUUUAGAUGAGCAGAAGGUCACAGACCUCUGUUGAGGAUUGAAAGCUUGAGGUACGUGCCUUUGUUCCUCAGUGUGUGUGGAUCAGAGUGAUUACUGAUAUCAGUUAGCAACAUGGUGGAGGGGACAAACUGGGGCUGCAUUUUCACUAUGUUUAUUAUUGCUCAAGGUCAAAAAGUGACUGUGUAGUGCCUCAGUUUUUACAUCUUUGUGUUAUCAAUAUUUUUUUCUAUUACCUUACAAGUUUAUUUUGAUGCUGUAAUGAUGAGACAGUGUUUUGAAAAGUUCUAAAUAAAUAAAAGGGUAUUCUCUAACUUUUAA
rnacentral:lncRNA from 1 species